rnacentral:misc_RNA from 1 species
UAAGUAAGUGUUUUAUGGCACUUUUUAAAUCCAUAUCCACCUUGUGUGCAAUGUCAGUCGAUCUUCUUCAUGGAGAUCGACCAAACAUCAACCUUUAUCUUUUAACUCUUUGUCUGAAAAAUAUUAUGAAUAAACAAUUCAAAAUA